rnacentral:lncRNA from 1 species
GACACAGCAUGGAACUGGUGGGAGGAAUGAUUUGUGCUACAGGUUAUGUUCUUAGAACUGCCUGAACUCAGAGCUCAGACCUGGGGUCUUGGGGCCGACUGAAUUCGAUGUGGUGGUGCAGAGACUUAGAAUGGUGGCAGGACAAGGACACACUUGCAAGCUUAGCCCUGAUGUAAGGGGGAUGUGUCAUGAUUCCUCUGGGAGCACAAUCUACACCUGCAGCAUUUGGAUGAAAACCUUUUGGAGCACAGAGAAGUGAUUUUCUAGGCUGAGAGUGACUCAGUCCAAGACAUUGUCCUGGGAAGUAUCCUCAUUCUGUGCAAGAAGGGGCUGGAGGGGCUGUGCAGUUUUGGAGGUAGAAGGCCUUACUUGUUUUUGCUGAAAACUUCUGCUGUUCCUCAGGUUGCCCCAUCCCCGGGAAGACGUGAUGGAGUUACCCAAAAAGAAAAGUAGCCAACAUAUAAAAGAUACAGUAUGCGGGGACACGGUGGAAUAAUCUGUUUUAGAGCCAUGGGCAAGGGUCCUUAGGCAAUUCACCACUCAGCGUGAAAAUGUGUAAUCAUAAAGGUGAAGGAACCUCUUGUCUUAUAAAACAUCUGGAUAAUCAACAUAUACGUGAAUCAUAAGAUCAAUGAUACACAUGCUAGGAUGCGUGUGAUAGAAAGAGACAGACUCAAGUCUGUAAAUGUAUGAACAGGAGGUGUUUCCAUAAAGAUGGUUUGUUGAUAAUCAACAUAAAUAUGAUGUAGUAUUUCUGACUACGUGCUUGAAAAUAUCUUCUUUGGAGAUCACUGACUGAGGAAAGAAAUUUGAUUGGAUAACCUCAAUGUGAAAAUAUUUCUGCCUCAGCACUGGCGGCAGGCCUGCGACUGUGAUGCUGCCUAUGGACCAGAAGCAGCCCUGUCACUCUGUGAACUCAGCUCCAGUCUCACUUGCCUGUGGUCCUGCCUCUGGCCACUUCUGUCAAGGCACCCUGGAAGAGCUAUACGCAUCAUUGCCAAAGGCAAACAAAGGUCUGGAGGCAGCUCUACUCUCCCACCUGUGGACACCUUGUGG